UAGGGAAUCUUCGGCAAUGGACGGAAGCCUGAUCGAGCAACGCCGCGUGAGUGAAGAAGGUUUUCGGAUCGUAAAGCUCUGUUGUCAGAGAAGAACGUUGGUAGGAGUGGAAAAUCUACCAAGUGACGGUAACUAACCAGAAAGGGACGGCUAACUACGUGCCAGCAGCCGCGGUAAUACGUAGGUCCCGAGCGUUGUCCGGAUUUAUUGGGCGUAAAGCGAGCGCAGGCGGUUCUUUAAGUCUGAAGUUAAAGGCAGUGGCUUAACCAUUGUACGCUUUGGAAACUGGAGGGCUUGAGUGCAGAAGGGGAGAGUGGAAUUCCAUGUGUAGCGGUGAAAUGCGUAGAUAUAUGGAGGAACACCGGUGGCGAAAGCGGCUCUCUGGUCUGUAACUGACGCUGAGGCUCGAAAGCGUGGGGAGCAAACAGG
rnacentral:rRNA from 1 species